rnacentral:rRNA from 1 species
AGUGAACGCUGGCGGUAGGCCUAACACAUGCAAGUCGAACGGCAGCACAGUAAGAGCUUGCUCUUACGGGUGGCGAGUGGCGGACGGGUGAGGAAUACAUCUGAAUCUACUUUUUCGUGGGGGAUAACGUAGGGAAACUUACGCUAAUACCGCAUACGACCUACGGGUGAAAGCAGGGGAUCUUCGGACCUUGCGCGAUUGAAUGAGCCGAUGUCGGAUUAGCUAGUUGGCGGGGUAAAGGCCCACCAAGGCGACGAUCCGUAGCUGGUCUGAGAGGAUGAUCAGCCACACUGGAACUGAGACACGGUCCAGACUCCUACGGGAGGCAGCAGUGGGGAAUAUUGGACAAUGGGCGCAAGCCUGAUCCAGCCAUACCGCGUGGGUGAAGAAAGCCUUCGGGUUGUAAAGCCCUUUUGUUGGGAAAGAAAAGCAGCAGGUUAAUACCCCGCUGUUCUGACGGUACCCAAAGAAUAAGCACCGGCUAACUUCGUG